rnacentral:rRNA from 1 species
UACGGGGGGGGCAAGCGUUGUUCGGAAUUACUGGGCGUAAAGGGCUCGUAGGCGGCCAACUAAGUCAGACGUGAAAUCCCUCGGCUUAACCGGGGAACUGCGUCUGAUACUGGAUGGCUUGAGUGUGGGAGAGGGACGCGGAAUUCCUGGUGUAGCGGUGAAAUGCGCAGAUAUCAGGAGGAACACCAAUGGCGAAGGCAGCACUCUGGGACGUGACUGACGCUGAGACGCGAAAGCGUGGGGAGCAAACAGG